rnacentral:rRNA from 1 species
CAAGGCUUGACAUGGCGGAAGUAGCGACCUGAAAGGGAAGCGACCUGUUAAGUCAGGAGCCGUCACAGGUGCUGCAUGGCUGUCGUCAGCUCGUGCCGUGAGGUGUCGGGUUAAGUCCCAUAACGAGCGCAACCCCUGUUGCCAGUUAAUUUCUCUGGCGAGACUGCCCUACAAAAUGGGGAGGAAGGCGGGGAUGACGUCAAGUCAGCAUGGCCCUUAUGCCUUGGGCUACACACACGCUACAAUGGGUGGUACAAUGGGUCGCAAUAGAGCAAUCUGGAGCUAAUCCUAUAAAACCAUCCUCAGUUCGGAUUAUAGGCUGAAAUUCGCCUGUAUGAAGUGGGAGUUGCUAGUAACCGUAAAUCAGCAUGUUACGGUGAAUACGUUCU